rnacentral:rRNA from 1 species
UAAAUGGUUUUCUUUACCCCGUCUUGUAACACGGACCAAGGAGUCUAACAUCUAUGCGAGUGUUUGGGUGUCAAGCCCGAGCGCGUAAUGAAAGUGAACGGAGGUGGGAUCCCGCAAGGGUGCACCAUCGACCGAUCCUGAUGUCUUCGGAUGGAUUUGAGUAAGAGCAUAACUGUUCGGACCCGAAAGAUGGUGAACUAUGCCUGAAUAGGGAGAAGCCAGGGGAAACUCUGGUGGAGGCUCGCAGCGGUUCUGACGUGCAAAUCGAUCGUCAAAUUUGGGUAUAGGGGCGAAAGACUAAUCGAACCAUCUAGUAGCUGGUUCCCUCCGAAAUUUCCCUUAGGAUAGCUGCAAUCGAUAUUCAAUUUUAUCAGGUAAAGCGAAUGAUUAGAGG